CUUAUCUACAAAUUUGAAAUCAAAGAAAUAAUUUUUAUACUGUCUAUUAUAACAAAUUAAUAUCUCUGAUAAUAUCUCUGAUAUUUAGUGUGGCUGUAGUCCUGGAAUUUGUGAACAAGGAAGUCACUGGAUCAGACAGCUCUGCCCUCGAUGAAAUGAUGUGACAUAUGUGGCCAAUCAGAAUUAAGUCAGAAUUAGAGGAAAUUAAGGAGGAAAGUCCAAUGGACCAUCAACAUGAGGAGAAGGCAUGGACUCAUUGCGAAGGAUUGUGGGUCACUACAAACAUUAUGUUUCAGCGCGGUUCUGCUUGGUUGCUCUGUGUAUAUACUAUUACUAGUACUGUGAAUAAUCUCAGAGAUUACAGAUGUGCUCUGCAGUGUUCUAUCUGGG